rnacentral:rRNA from 1 species
CUACGGGCGGCACCAGGCGAGAAAACUUUGCAAUGUGCGAAAGCACGACAAGGUUAAUCCGAGUGGUUUGUGCUAAACGAACCUUUUGACAGUCCUAGAAACACUGUUGAAUAAGGGGUGGGCAAGUUCUGGUGUCAGCCGCCGCGGUAAAACCAGCACCUCAAGUGGUCAGGAUGAUUAUUGGGCCUAAAGCAUCCGUAGCCGGCUCUGUAAGUUUUCGGUUAAAUCUGUACGCUCAACGUACAGGCUGCCGGGAAUACUGCAGAGCUAGGGAGUGGGAGAGGUAGACGGUACUCGGUAGGAAGGGGUAAAAUCCUUUGAUCUAUUGAUGACCACCUGUGGCGAAGGCGGUCUACCAGAACACGUCCGACGGUGAGGGAUGAAAGCUGGGGGAGCAAACCGGAUUAGAUACCCUUGUAGUC